AUCGCUUCUCGGCCUUUUGGCUAAGAUCAAGUGUAGUAUCUGUUCUUAUCAGUUUAAUAUCUGAUACGUCCCCUACCCGGGGACCAUAUAUUAAAUUGAUUUUUGGAUCAGGGAGCCGGAACGGGGGCUUGCUCCUUCCACUCCACGCAUCGACCCGGGUAUUGCAUUACCUCCCAGGGUACGGUGCACCAUUC
rnacentral:snRNA from 1 species